GACGAACGCUGGCGGCGUGCUUAACACAUGCAAGUCGAACGGAUUGCUUGGUGCUUGCACUGAGUGGUUAGUGGCGAACGGGUGAGUAACACGUGAGUAACCUGCCCCCUUCUUUGGGAUAAGCACCUGAAAGGGUGUCUAAUACUGAUUAUUAUGCUGGAAUCGCAUGGUUUUGGUUGGAAAGGUUUUUCUGGUGGGGGAUGGGCUCGCGGGUUAUCAGCUUGUUGGAGGGGUAAUGGCUUACCAAGGCUUUGACGGGUAACCGGCCUGAGAGGGUGACCGGUCACAUUGGGACUGAGAAACGGCCCAGACUCCUACGGGAGGCAGCAGUGGGGAAUAUUGCACAAUGGACGAAAGUCUGAUGCAGCGACGCCGCGUGAGGGAUGAAGGCCUUCGGGUUGUAAACCUUUUUCGCUUCUGACCAAGGCAGCAUUUUGGUGUUGUUGAGGGUAUGAGGUAAAGAAGCUCCGGCUAACUACGUGCCAGCCGCCGCGGUAACAC
rnacentral:rRNA from 1 species